rnacentral:rRNA from 1 species
AACGAACGCUGGCGGCAGGCUUAACACAUGCAAGUCGAGCGCCCCGCAAGGGGAGCGGCAGACGGGUGAGUAACGCGUGGGAAUCUACCCAUCUCUACGGAAUAACGCAUGGAAACGUGUGCUAAUACCGUAUACGUCCUUCGGGAGAAAGAUUUAUCGGAGAUGGAUGAGCCCGCGUUGGAUUAGCUAGUUGGUGGGGUAAAGGCCUACCGAGGCGACGAUCCAUAGCUGGUCUGAGAGGAUGAUCAGCCACACUGGGACUGAGACACGGCCCAGACUCCUACGGAAGGCAGCAGUGGGGAAUAUUGGACAAUGGGCGCAAGCCUGAUCCAGCCAUGCCGCGUGAGUGAUGAAGGCCCUAGGGUUGUAAAGCUCUUUCACCGGUGAAGAUAAUGACGGUAACCGGAGAAGAAGCCCCGGCUAACUUCGUGCCAGCCGCCGCCGUAAUAC